GACGAACGCUGGCGGCGUGCUUAACACAUGCAAGUCGAGCGGUAAGGCCCUUUCGGGGGUACACGAGCGGCGAACGGGUGAGUAACACGUGGGUGACCUGCCCUCAGCUCUGGGAUAAGCCUGGGAAACCGGGUCUAAUACCGGAUAUGACUCCAUGACGCAUGUUGUGGGGUGGAAAGCCUUGUGCGGCUGAGGAUGGGCCCGCGGCCUAUCAGCUUGUUGGUGGGGUGAGGCCUACCAAGGCGACGACGGGUAGCCGGCCUGAGAGGGCGACCGGCCACACUGGGACUGAGACACGGCCCAGACUCCUACGGGAGGCAGCAGUGGGGAAGUCUUGCGCAAUGGGCGAAAGCCUGACGCAGCGACGCCGCGUGAGGGAUGACGGCCU
rnacentral:rRNA from 1 species